rnacentral:rRNA from 1 species
AUUGAACGCUGGCGGCAGGCCUAACACAUGCAAGUCGCACGAGUGGCGGACGGGUGAGUAAUGUCUGGGAAACUGCCUGAUGGAGGGGGAUAACUACUGGAAACGGUAGCUAAUACCGCAUUCCAUACGAUGUCCCCAUCUGGGAUAAGCUUGUUGGUGGGGUAACGGCUCACCAAGGCGACGAUCCCUAGCUGGUCUGAGAGGAUGACCAGCCACACUGGAACUGAGACACGGUCCAGAGUCCUACGGGAGGCAGGAGUGGGGAAUAUUGCACAAUGGGCGCAAGCCUGAUGCAGCCAUGCCGCGUGUAUGAAGAAGGCCUUCGGGUUGUAAAGUACUUUCAGCGGGGAGGCGUUACCCGCAGAAGAAGCACAGGCGAACUCAGGGCCAGCCGCCGCGGUAAUUC